AGCAGUUAAUGAUAUUAUUUCAGAGUUAUAACUGACUUAGCAAAGUCACGUUAUUUAUUUAAGCGAGAUGAAAUUUGAUUUUAUUUUUACUCAGAUCGUGAAUUAUUUCCGACUCAGGAAGUUAAUUAAAUCUGCGGAUUUAAUUUAGAUAUCAGAACAACGAACGAAUUAAAUCUACGGAUUUAAUUUAGAUUCAUUUUAUAAUUUAUCGGUUUUAGUGAGAAAUCACAUGUCGAAAUACGAGAUUUAUUUAAAUAAACAGUAUCAAGCAUAUACGAGCACACGAUCCAUCUUACAGUUACAGAAUCACCGAGACAGAGAAAAUACAUCAAUAAUUCUCCUCUACAUUUUUUUUCCUUUCUUUUUCUUCUCUUUUUCUUUCCAUUAAUUUUGUUCCCCACUCCAUCAACUCCACUACCCUAUGCUCCCCACCAUCUCCACUACCUUUGCUCCCCAUCAACUCCAACACUUCACCCAUUCCUUCCAUUUCGCACCAGCAAUCACAAAGAGAAGGAAGACUUGGCUUAACUACUUUGCCAAGAUUUCAAGCUGCUCCAGUCCAGUAGUACCCCAACACUCGAAGCUAGAGUUUAUUGGGUGAAAAACCGUGCAUGAGGUCGAGCGCAAGAAUAAGAGCUCGUCAAGGAGUCACUAAUCUGUAGCAAAGCUUUGCUAUCAGGUUGAGCAGUAGACGAUGGUGAUGAAGUGACGAGUGGAAUCCUCUUUUGUCGCAAUAUUAUAUGCUAUGAAAAACUCUAGGGUUACAUGUCUUCAUACAUGUAAUCAGAACCUUAUUCCGCUGCGUACUCAGAAGUUUUAUGUUAUUUUGGCUAAGUCAGAGUUAUCUGAACUUAUUAGUUAUUUGAGUCUAUACGACUAAACCUCUGUUAUAUUAUAAAUAUUCCUUUUGUUAAAUGAUGAAAUGCGAUUCUUCCUUGUUUGAUUAUCCCCUUUCUACCCCGCUUCUAAUCUCCCUCCAUUAGUCACGGUUUCCCCGACUUAAUUAUCCUUAAUUAGGGCCGGUCGUGACAGAGUGGUAUCAGAGCAGUUCAUUUGCUCUGAACCCUAGAGUUAGCCCAUUUUUCUAGUAUGAUCACUAGUAUAUAUGAGUCAGUCAGCCAAAGCUCAUCACUUCAUCACAUCGUCAUGCUCAGCAAGAAAGAAGGUGGUAAUGAUUUUAAAACAUUGAGAAGUUCACGUUUUAUAUGAAUGUACUGAUGCUUACAUUCAAGUUUUAUGCUUUAUUGAUUGAUUAGAUAUCUCAAUGAACUUAGAUGCGUUAAGAAUGCAUGAUCACUGUUACGAGAAGAACAAUAGAAGCUAGAAACUCAGUUAUAUUUCACUAUAGCCAUGGUGAAGAGCUAAGAAAGAAAAAGAGAAUCCCAUGAAAGCAGUGCAAGCGGAGUGCCACGCACGAAUCACUGAAGCAGGCAUAGUUCUUCAUUCAGGUUGUUCACGAGUGACAGAACACCGAAUCGACUAUUGCCUUAUUUGAUGAUAGAUCACGUGAGUCAUUGCUCGUAGCGACGAGUGUGACUUAUGUAAUCAGCUAGCUAUCGCAUAAUGAGCUAAGACUCAUUACUAACUCUCGAUUAUCACCAGUUAUGGCAUGAAGAGAACCUUCAUGAUUUAUGUUUGAACUUCAG